UUUUUUAAAAAACGAUAUUAAGACUUGAAAUUACAUAUAUGACCAAUUUAUGUAAUUUCUUAUUUCUAAAUAUCCAAGAAGUGAGGUAUAUAAAUUGCGUGAAGUGGAGAAACCCUAAAUCGCGCCCAUGAUCCACUCGCUUCCGAAGAGAAGAUGAAAAGGGAUAAGGUUGAGCGUAAGAUUCCCGGGUCCGAGGAUAUGAAAAUACUGAAGAACUGUUUUGUAUAUAUCGUACCUAAUUGUU
rnacentral:sRNA from 1 species